UCGCGGCUUAUCACCGGCAGUCCCCUUAGAGUGCCCAACUGAAUGAUGGCAACUAAGGGCGAGGGUUGCGCUCGUUGCGGGACUUAACCCAACAUCUCACGACACGAGCUGACGACAGCCAUGCAGCACCUGUCACCGGUCCAGCCGAACUGAAAGCCCCUCUUUCAAGGGGCCGCGACCGGGAUGUCAAGGCCAGGUAAGGUUCUUCGCGUUGCAUCGAAUUAAUCCGCAUGCUCCGCCGCUUGUGCGGGCCCCGUCAAUUCCUUUGAGUUUUAGCCUUGCGGCCGUACUCCCCAGGCGGGGCACUUCAUGCGUUAGCGCCGGUACCCUGAGGGUCGCUCCCCAAAGCACCUAGUGCCCAUCGUUUACGGCGUGGACUAC
rnacentral:misc_RNA from 1 species